rnacentral:misc_RNA from 1 species
UCAGCAUCUCUCUCUCUCUCUCAGCGUGUGAGGUGAGAGGGCGAUCUUUUUUUUUCACAGGUGCCGCUGCAGUGUUUGCCGCUGCUUCACCCUUUCACUCUUUCUCUCCUUCUGCGAGGUUCGUUGCGUGCACCUCCUCCCCCGCCCGUCAGACGCCAUGCUCGUUCGCGGCUCCUUCACGCUAGAGAAGGCGGAAAGCGCCUGCCAAUGGUACUACCGAAUCGGCUUCUUUGCUCUGCCUUGGCUGUGGGCCGUUGUCUGGCUAUUCUUCCGCCACUACGAGGACGAGAGCGAGUUGAUUCGCUGGUAUGUGGAGCGGGCGAAGCGUUACAGCGUAUCAGGCGGCGCCGUGUUCGUGAUCGUGUCCGUUGUCUUCCUCUUUGUCAUCCCCCCGACGAGCCCGAUCUGGGUGAUCGCGCCCUUCCAGGACACCUUCCAGUGGGGAUACUUUGCAGUGAACGCGUCAGAGGCGGCGGGCGCGGAGAACGCCGGCUCCAGCGGCUGAGGCAGUGCGCCUUUUCUCUGCAGGGGGGGGGCUCGCCGCGAAACGUACAUAAGCAGCGCAACUGCGGUCUACUGCUUCACAGCGAGAUUCUGGGAGCGGCGCAUGCCUUGCACGCUUACACUCUCGUGAGCCGGAGAACUGCGCCUGCUUUUAGAUGCCUCCGCCGCUGCCGCGACUGCUGCUACUCGACAUAUGUGUGUUCCCGACUCUCUGCUGCGCUCAACUAUCUUUUUUGUUUCAUCGCCUCUCCGUCAAUGGCUGCGCCGACGCGAAAAAGGGACGCACGCACGACGGCUACGAUGCCGCUUGGCUCGUUGGUUUUUUAUUUUCGGAGAAUCGAAGGAAGACGGGGUUAGGGGAAGUCAGUGCUGCUCUCUUUUCGUCGAUGCUCGUUGUGCGUUUUUGUGCAUGUCCGUGCUUCGUCUGUCCUCCUCGCCUCGCUUUAGGUUGUGUGAGUGGACGCGCAGCCAGUGCCGCAAAACAAACGCGAAUGACGGUGUCGCUCAUUAUUCUGCAACAGAUGUACGGUUGUGUCGGCACGCGCGUGUGGGGAAACGAAAAAAAAAGGCCUUCGCGGGCUGAUGCCCCGCAGCAGCGCCUCUUCCCUUGUGCCAACUAUCUAAUUCUUCCAGUGGCCCCUUGCAUGUACGAUGUGGGCACGCGAGGAGGGAGAAAUAGGGCGUAGAAGGUUCAGCGGGCCUCGGUUGUGGUCCCUCUCUGAGGGGCCCGAGAGGGGUUGGGGGUUGGGCUGCGUUGGGCAUUAAAAAAACGGAUGAUCUCUUCCAAGCCCCCCUUUUUGCGCUUCUUCCACAUCUUGCUCACGCCCUCUAGGGUCAGCUCGUCCUUGCUUCCCAGCCGCCAUGCCGUCCUUGUUGUCGCUCCACCACUGCUUCUCCCCCUUCCCGACCCUUCGCAG